AAAAAAAAUUAAAAAAAAAAUUAAAAAUGUAUAAAGCAGUGGUUUGGAUAAUUACUUUGAUUUUUCUCUUGUUUUCUGGAUCAUCAAACACAGCAGUAGCAAGAAUAGCAUAUGAAACACCCACCCAAACAAAAGAGGGUCAAUGGGAAGAAAAGGUGAUAAGAGGGAGCAAAAUUGAAACACCAGGUAGCAUUUCAAGGCGUGCACCUGACCCACCAACAAACCCCAAACCCUAGAGACGAUCAUAUUAAAGCUUAUUCUAAUUAUGAUGUCACAUAGCUCAGAUGCGGAAUAAAAACCUCAUAUUCACAAACUA